rnacentral:rRNA from 1 species
CUUGGUCAUUUAGAGGAAGUAAAAGUCGUAACAAGGUUUCCGUAGGUGAACCUGCGGAAGGAUCAUUCAUAAUAAGUGUUUUACUGCACUUUUUAAAAAUAGUACUCACCUUGUGUGCAAUGUUGUGUUUCUUUUCGGAGAAACACCUACACCAACCUAUAACCUUGAACCACUUUGUCUGAAAAACUAUUAUGAAUACUUAAUUCAAAAUACAACUUUCAACAACGGAUCUCUUGGUUCUGGCAUCGAUGAAGAACGCAGCGAAAUGCGAUAAGUAAUGUGAAUUGCAGAAUUCAGUGAAUCAUCGAAUCUUUGAACGCACAUUGCGCCCCUUGGUAUUCCGAGGGGCAUGCCUGUUCGAGCGUCAUUAUGACCACUCAAGCCUAGCUUGGUAUUGGGGUUCGCGGUCUCGCGGCCCUUAAAAUCAGUGGCGGUGCCAUCUGGCUCUAAGCGUAGUAAUUUAUCUCGCUAUUGGGUCCGGUGGUUGCUUGCCAACAACCCCCAACUUCUAAGGUUGACCUCGGAUCAGGUAGGGAUACCCGCUGAACUUAAGCAUAUCAAUAAGCGGAGGA